rnacentral:rRNA from 1 species
UUCGGGCCUCUUGCCAUCGGAUGUGCCCAGAUGGGAUUAGCUUGUUGGUGGGGUAACGGCUCACCAAGGCGACGAUCCCUAGCUGGUCUGAGAGGAUGACCAGCCACACUGGAACUGAGACACGGUCCAGACUCCUACGGGAGGCAGCAGUGGGGAAUAUUGCACAAUGGGCGCAAGCCUGAUGCAGCCAUGCCGCGUGUAUGAAGAAGGCCUUCGGGUUGUAAAGUACUUUCAGCGGGGAGGAAGGGAGUAAAGUUAAUACCUUUGCUCAUUGACGUUACCCGCAGAAGAAGCACCGGCUAACUCCGUGCCAGCAGCCGCGGUAAUACGGAGGGUGCAAGCGUUAAUCGGAAUUACUGGGCGUAAAGCGCACGCAGGCGGUUUGUUAAGUCAGAUGUGAAAUCCCCGGGCUCAACCUGGGAACUGCAUCUGAUACUGGCAAGCUUGAGUCUCGUAGAGGGGGGUAGAAUUCCAGGUGUAGCGGUGAAAUGCGUAGAGAUCUGGAGGAAUACCGGUGGCGAAGGCGGCCCCCUGGACGAAGACUGACGCUCAGGUGCGAAAGCGUGGGGAGCAAACAGGAUU